CGUUGUGCAGCUGUAUUCAACACAUAUGAUGUAAGGGUAUGAAUCGAGAGGAAUGGAUAACAGUUGUAAGUGUGCCAUAAACAAUUCUAACCUAACGACGAACUGAAGAUGACGACAAGUAUAUUCUAUACUGAUUGUAUGAGUUUCCAUACUAUGUACGUAUGUGGAAUAGUAAUAUUAUAAAUGUAGUUCCAAGUGAAAUAUGGUCUUCAUAAUUUCGCUACUGUUAAAAAAGUACAUGAUGCAAGGAAAGUACGUAAUGCUUUACCCAAAAUCAAGCCAAAUAUUCCAUAAAUAAAUUUAUCAAC
rnacentral:lncRNA from 1 species